CCUUCUAUUUUACGUAAGGGGGUGGGGAUUGUGUCUACCCUUUGUUUAUACUGUGCAUAAAGGCCAGUGGUGUCCAGCUGGAAAGUGGUAGAAGGUAUAGUCAUGUACUUCCCAUGGAUUGUUUCCCAGGGUCUACCGAUUGCCUCCUUAGUUCAGGGAAAGGCAAUAAAAAUCUACAGGACAAGCUCAGAUUCUUCCAUCCCGUUUAGGAUUCUUCCUCGCUUGUUCUUCCCUGAUCUAGAAACUGGUCGUCUCUUCAGAGCUCCUCUCUAAAGGUAACCCCUUGCUGCCCUACUGCCCUUGAUCGAGAACUGAGGCCCCAGCUCCCUGUACCUCAUCAGCUGGCAGCGGGGUGCUGUGCAAGUUAGCUCAGAGGAGUUACCUAAAGAUACAGGAUUCUCAGGGCACCUGGGUGGCUCAGUCGGUUGAACGUCCAACUUUGGCUCAGGUCAUGAUCUCACGGUUCCGUCAGUUCGAGCCCCUGGUCAGGCCCUCUGCUGUCAGCACAGAGCCUGAUUCUCGGAUCCUCUGUUCCCCUCUCUCUCUGCCUCUCUCCCUCAAAAAGAUAUAAACGUUUAAACACUGAUAAAAAAAAAAAAAAAAAGAUCUAGGAUUCUCAUGAGGGUCCAAAGAUAGAAACCGCAAUUCUCCAGGCUUCCCAGGACCUGGAACAAGAGGGAAAUUAUGGAUUUGCGGUGACUCGCCAGACAGUCUCUCUCAUUCAAGGGCUGAGGACAGGCAGUCUCCUUUACUAAGGAGCAUGCAGUCGUUGAUCUCUCUCACACAAGGGACAGACCUUACAGGCUUCAGGCAGCACAUUCCUCUCGAGCCCUGUUGUCGGUUCUGAUGUCUGUUCUCUGCCAUCGCGUUUCCCAGGCUGGUUUUUUUGGACCAGGGAACUGGGAGACUUCUGCAAGCUGCAAUCUUCCUUUGCUGACUCAUGCCAGGAGCACAAACCUGAAGGUCAUACAUCAGAGUGUUCCUGGAAACGAAGCUGGUAUUCACACCUCUGGGGAGCCGGGGCCCUGACCCCGGGGUCACGCCUGGGGGAAGAAAGAGGCCUGACUCUCUGUGUGCCCUGUUAGGGUUAAAGGAGAGGCGCUUGGUGGGUAGGAGGUUCAGGAUUUGGAACCGGGAGCUUGUGGUUUGAGGUCAGCUCCCUGACUAAUGCAUCGAGUGGCCCUCAGUCUUCCUAUCUGUAAAUUGGUCUGUAAUGGCUUCUUCUCUGGAAAGGUGGAUGAAUCAAUGGUUACACAGAGGUUCAGAUCUGCAGGGCCUAUUUUGAGCGCAAAGCCGUAGGGCCUGAGAACUGUUUUCAGCUUUUGCUACCUGUCAAUCAAUUUUGUCCAAAGGAAUUGUAGCCUAAACACUUACCACCCAUCUCUCAAGUCCAUUGAAAGCCAGUCUGAGUAAGUUAGAAGGACAAAUACACCUUGCUUUCAGGACGGGAACUUUGAAUUUAAAUUACAUCUGUAAGUCAAUGGUCUCCUGUGGAAGACUGGACACAACCAACGUAACUGUGACUUGUUUCCUGGGCCAGAAUGAAAACAACUACAAAAGUUCACAACAUUCAAGGCCCAGGCUUCAGCCUGAGUUCCAGAUCCAGGAAUUGAAGGGCCUGUAGGACAGUCCUUCUUCAGAGUUCUACCGCUCUGCUGUUCUCACUUUUAGCCACGCCCAAGCCAAAGCUGGGGACUUGGGGUACCAGCCGAAGACCAGGCUUUCACAUUCAUCAAAUCCCCUUCCUGGGACCAGCGUGCCUCCCUUCUCUGUGGCUGUCAGAGAUCGACCAGCACCAGGGGUCAGUCAGACCACAUGUCAUGGAGACAGCCUCUGACCUGGAAGGUUAUUUGCUCAUGAUUGUGUAACUGAUCUGUGGUUUAGAGCCUGCCGGGAAUCGGGGUUUUUUUUGUUUUUUUGUUUUUCCUUUUUCUCAUUAACCAGGAAGGAUUGAAUGUCACUGUGGGGCCUGACCUGGAGAUGUUGGGAAGUGGAUUUUGCAAAGCGAUGCUGUCCUGUGACCCUGAGUGGCUGGUGAAGUGCUGGAAAGAUCCCUAGGUGAUCUGCAUGAAACUCACUGGCCCAAGAAGUAUCAUCACUACAGUGCUUUCUGCCUGUACCUCAACUUUGCACGGAGGCCUGGAGCCAGGAAGCCAGGGAUUCUCCAUUCCUUGCAGGCCCUUCAUGAAGUGACAGACGUCCUGCUUAACUGCAUAUUGUCAGAGUCCAAAUAAUCUCCUUCAGUGAUCGAUGCCCCACUAGUGAAAAGCAACUUCUGACCCCAAUCCUUCCCUAUGCAUUUCCAGGGUCUUACUUUCCAGGGUGUGACUUUAGGGAGUGGGUUUGGGCCUGGAACAGCUCUAGGGAGCUCAGAGAAGGCGAGGCACUGGGCAGGUGAGACUCUGAAUGGGGAAUUGUGUGCACAUGGAUUUGGGGUAUUUAUACGUAUUUUUGUGCCUGUGCGAGUGUGUGAAUAUCAAAUAGAAGCCAACAGACCCAGUCCUUGAAAGACCCAGCAUCCAGCUGUUAGGGGGCUCCCCCCAGCCUGCGUCCAGGCCUCUCUCUGCACACCCCUCACUGAGGAGCAUUGGCUCUGGGGGUCCCUAGGGCUCUGGUUGAGGCGUGCUUGGUCCCGGACAAAAAUGGUCCACGAGUGGCCCUGAGCUAUGCGCUGGGGCCCCUAGGACUCAGCAGAGAUUGUCUACAUGCUAAUACGAUCCUCCUCCCCUGCCAGGUCUUGGAUCAUUUGUCACCACUAUCUCUCCGCCUAAGUCCUUAUCUGACCACUGAAUCUUAGAUUGCCUCAACCCCCGUCACCAUUACAAUGCUCCCUUUUAUUUUCUUGUUAGCAAUCCUAGUCACUGAACUCACCUCAGCCAUGUACUUGCUCAAGUUAUAUCUGUGCAACAAAGCCAUUAGGAAGACUCUGGAUCCAGAUGGCCUGGAUUCAAACCCUGGCUCUACCACUCUGUGGCCAUGUGACCCUGGGCAAGUCACAUACAUGCUGUGCCUUUGGUCCUCCUCUUGAUGAAACCGGGAUAAUAAUAGUAUCCAGCUCACAGGGUUGUUGUGAGGGAUAAAUGACCUGAUACAAGAAAGGCACUUUAGGGCGGCCCUGGCCUGCAGUCAGCACCGCGCAAACAUUUCUUCUUGCCGCCGCUGUGACUGUCGCAAUACCGUAUCAUCCACCCCUGCAGUCCCAGGGCCUGUGAAAGGGCUGGAAACCGCGUACACAUUCAGUGGCUGUUGAAUGAACGAAUGAAUGAACAGAUGAAUGACUGAAUCUCAGUCCUCCCUGCAAAUGUGUGGCCAGACUCCCUUCUCUGGAACUUGACUCAGCUCCAAGUUGAACCCAAGAGAGAAGCGGCCAGACUUAUUUUGGAAUGUGGAUGUGGGCACGGCCUCCCUUGCCCAGUUUAGCGGCUUUGUGCUCC